rnacentral:rRNA from 1 species
UACGUAGGGUGCAAGCGUUAAUCGGAAUUACUGGGCGUAAAGCGUGCGCAGGCGGUGAUGUAAGACAGGUGUGAAAUCCCCGGGCUUAACCUGGGAACUGCAUUUGUGACUGCAUCGCUGGAGUGCGGCAGAGGGGGAUGGAAUUCCACGUGUAGCAGUGAAAUGCGUAGAUAUGUGGAGGAACACCGAUGGCGAAGGCAGCCCCCUGGGAUGUGACUGACGCUCAUGUACGAAAGCGUGGGGAGCAAACAGG